rnacentral:misc_RNA from 1 species
AAAGUCGUAACAAGGUCUCCGUUGGUGAACCAGCGGAGGGAUCAUUACAGAGUGUAAAAACUCCCAAACCCAUUGUGAACCUACCUCGCGUUGCCUCGGCGGGCCGCCCCGCGCCUCCGGGCGCGGGGUCCGCCGGCGGCCCACGAAACUCUUGUCAUCAUUGGCAUCUCUGAACGCAAACUAAAUCAGUUAAAACUUUCAACAACGGAUCUCUUGGUUCUG